rnacentral:rRNA from 1 species
UACGAAGGGGGCUAGCGUUGCUCGGAAUCACUGGGCGUAAAGCGCACGUAGGCGGCUUUCUAAGUCAGGGGUGAAAUCCUGGAGCUCAACUCCAGAACUGCCUUUGAUACUGGGAGAGCUUGAGUCCGGGAGAGGUGAGUGGAACUCCGAGUGUAGAGGUGAAAUUCGUAGAUAUCGGAAGAACACCAGUGGCGAAGGCGGCUCA